rnacentral:rRNA from 1 species
GAUGAACGCUAGCUACAGGCUUAACACAUGCAAGUCGAGGGGCAGCAUGGUCUUAGCUUGCUAAGGCCGAUGGCGACCGGCGCACGGGUGAGUAACGCGUAUCCAACCUGCCUUACACUCUUGGACAGCCUUCUGAAAGGGAGAUUAAUACAAGAUGUUAUCAUGAGUAAGCAUUUUCGCAUGAUUAAAGGUUUACCGGUGUAAGAUGGGGAUGCGUUCCAUUAGAUAGUAGGCGGGGUAACGGCCCACCUAGUCUUCGAUGGAUAGGGGUUCUGAGAGGAAGGUCCCCCACAUUGGAACUGAGACACGGUCCAAACUCCUACGGGAGGCAGCAGUGAGGAAUAUUGGUCAAUGGACGAGAGUCUGAACCAGCCAAGUAGCGUGAAGGAUGAAGGUUCUAUGGAUUGUAAACUUCUUUUAUACGGGAAUAAACGAAUCCACGUGUGGAUUUUUGCAUGUACCGUAUGAAUAAGGAUCGGCUAACUCCGUGCCAGCAGCCGCGGUAAUACGGAGGAUCCGAGCGUUAUCCGGAUUUAUUGGGUUUAAAGGGAGCGUAGAUGGGUUGUUAAGUCAGUUGUGAAAGUUUGCGGCUCAACCGUAAAAUUGCAAUUGAUACUGGCAGUCUUGAGUACAGUUGAGGUAGGCGGAAUUCGUGGUGUAGCGGUGAAAUGCUUAGAUAUCACGAAGAACUCCGAUUGCGAAGGCAGCUUACUAACCUGUAACUGACAUUGAUGCUCGAAAGUGUGGGUAUCAAACAGGAUUAGAUACCCUGGUAGUCCACACGGUAAACGAUGAAUACUCGCUGUAGGCGAUAUACAGUCUGCGGCCAAGCGAAAGCAUUAAGUAUUCCACCUGGGGAGUACGCCGGCAACGGUGAAACUCAAAGGAAUUGACGGGGGCCCGCACAAGCGGAGGAACAUGUGGUUUAAUUCGAUGAUACGCGAGGAACCUUACCCGGGCUUAAAUUGCAACCGAAUAUGGCGGAAACGCUAUAGCUAGCAAUAGCGGUUGUGAAGGUGCUGCAUGGUUGUCGUCAGCUCGUGCCGUGAGGUGUCGGCUUAAGUGCCAUAACGAGCGCAACCCUUGCCGAUAGUUACUAACAGGUUAUGCUGAGGACUCUGUCGGGACUGCCAUCGUAAGAUGUGAGGAAGGUGGGGAUGACGUCAAAUCAGCACGGCCCUUACGUCCGGGGCUACACACGUGUUACAAUGGGGGGUACAGAGGGCUGCUACCACGCAAGUGGAUGCCAAUCCCAAAAACCUCUCUCAGUUCGGAUUGAAGUCUGCAACCCGACUUCAUGAAGCUGGAUUCGCUAGUAAUCGCGCAUCAGCCACGGCGCGGUGAAUACGUUCCCGGGCCU